rnacentral:rRNA from 1 species
CCGAGUUUACAACUCCCAAACCCAAUGUGAACGCUACCAAACCGUUGCCUCGGCGGGAUCUCUGCCCCGGGCGCUUCGCGGCCCCGGACCCAAGGCGCCCCGCCGGAGGAAGAAACAACCAAAACUCCUUUUCCCCAUGCCCCUCGCACGCCCCCUCGCGGGCCGCGUCGGGCUCUCUCUCUGAGCAAAACUUCUCGGCGCCCCUCACCGGGCGCCUCGAAAAUGAAUCA